ACGGGGUGCAGCAGGCGCGAAACCUUUACAAUGCACGAAAGUGUGAUAGGGGAAUUCUACGUGCAAGCUAUGCUUGCUUUUCUCAAGUCUAAAACGCUUGGGGAAUAAGGGCUGGGCAAGACCCGUGCCAGCCGCCGCGGUAACACGGGCAGCUCUAGUGGCGUUCGCGAAUAUUGGGCCUAAAGCGUACGUAGCCUGUUAAAUAAGUUCUUGGUGAAAGCUUGCGACUUAAUCGUGAGAGUUGCCAGGAAAACUGUUUGACUUGGGACCGGAAGAGGUCGGAGGUAUUUCAGGGGUAGGGGUAAAAUCCUGUAAUCCUUGAAGGACCAUCGGUGGCGAAGGCGUCCGACUGGGACGGGUCCGACGGUGAGGUACGAAAGCUAGGGGAGCGACCCGGAUUAGAUACCCGGUUAGUCCUAGCCGUAAAUGAUGUCUGUUUGGUAUUGCACUACCUACGAGGGAGUGCAGUGCCGUAGGGAAGCCGUUAAACAGACCGCCUGGGGAGUAUGGCCGCAAGGC
rnacentral:rRNA from 1 species